UUCCCCUAGUAACGGCGAGUGAAGAGGGAAGAGCCCAAGAUUGAAAGCUGGCGUCUUCGGCGUCCGCAUUGUAAUCUCAAGAAGUGUUUUCCGCUUCGGACCAAGCCUAAGUCCCCUGGAAAGGGGCAUCAUAGAGGGUGAUAAUCCCGUACAUGGCUUGGAGCGCCCGAGGCUUUGUGAUACGCUUUCUAAGAGUCGAGUUGUUUGGGAAUGCAGCUCAAAAUGGGUGGUAAAUGCCAUCUAAGGCUAAAUAUUGGGGAGAGACCGAUAGCGAACAAGUACAGUGAUGGAAAGAUGAAAAGAACUUUGAAAAGAGAGUUAAACAGUACGUGAAAUUGCCAAAAGGGAAGGGUAGGAGGUCAGAGAUGCGGCCUGGGAUUCAGCCUUGCUUUUGCUUGGUGUUUUUCCCAGAUUGCAGGCCAACGUCGGUUUUGGGCACUGGAGAAGGGUAGGAGGAACGUGGCACCUCUCGGGGUGUGUUAUAGCCUCCUACUGGAUACAGCGACCGAGACCGAGGACAGCAGCGUACUCGCAAGAGCGGGCCUUCGGGCACCUUUACGCUUAGGGCGUUGGCAUAAUGGCCCUCUACCACCCGUCUUGAAACACGGACC
rnacentral:rRNA from 1 species